GGGGAUGUAGCUCAGUGGUAGAGCAUUUGCCUAAUAUGCUCAAGAUCUGGGUUCAAUCCCCAGUACCA
rfam:Ictidomys tridecemlineatus contig005624, whole genome shotgun sequence.